UACAGAGGUCUCAAGCGUUGUUCGGAUUCAUUGGGCGUAAAGGGUGCGUAGGUGGCGCUGUAAGUCAGGUGUGAAAUUUCGGAGCUUAACUCCGAAACUGCAUUUGAUACUGCGGUGCUUGAGGACUGGAGAGGAGACUGGAAUUCACGGUGUAGCAGUGAAAUGCGUAGAGAUCGUGAGGAAGACCAGUGGCGAAGGCGGCUUUCUGGUCUGUAACUGACGCUGAGGCGCGAAAGCGUGGGGAGCAAACAGG
rnacentral:rRNA from 1 species